UACGUAGGGGGCAAGCGUUGUCCGGAUUUAUUGGGCGUAAAGAGCGUGUAGGCGUCUUUACAGGUCCGUUGUGAAAACUCGAGGCUCAACCUCGAGACGCCGGUGGAAACCGUAAAGCUAGAGUCCGGAAGAGGAGAGUGGAAUUCCUGGUGUAGCGGUGAAAUGCGCAGAUAUCAGGAAGAACACCCGUGGCGAAGGCGGCGCUCUGGGACGGUACUGACGCUGAGACGCGAAAGCGUGGGGAGCGAACAGG
rnacentral:rRNA from 1 species